rnacentral:rRNA from 1 species
UACGUAGGGUGCAAGCGUUAAUCGGAAUUACUGGGCGUAAAGCGUGCGCAGGCGGUUUUGUAAGUUUGUCGUGAAAUCCCCGGGCUCAACCUGGGAAUGGCGAUGAAGACUGCAAGGCUAGAAUCUGGCAGAGGGGGGUAGAAUUCCACGUGUAGCAGUGAAAUGCGUAGAGAUGUGGAGGAACACCGAUGGCGAAGGCAGCCCCCUGGGUCAAGAUUGACGCUCAUGCCACGAAAGCGUGGGGAGCAAACAGGAU